rnacentral:rRNA from 1 species
UACGUAGGGUCCGAGCGUUGUCCGGAAUUACUGGGCGUAAAGCGCGCGCAGGCGGUCUUCCAAGUCAGUGGUGAAAGCCUGGAGCUCAACUCCAGAACUGCCAUUGAAACUGUUAGACUUGAGUACGAGAGAGGUGAGUGGAAUUCCCAGUGUAGAGGUGAAAUUCGUAGAUAUUGGGAAGAACACCGGUGGCGAAGGCGGCUCACUGGCUCGUAACUGACGCUCAGGCGCGACAGCGUGGGGAUCAAACAGG